GACUAGUGGUUAGAGUGUUGGACUAGUAACCAGCAGGUAGCCUAGUGGUUAGAGUGUUGGACUAGUAACCAGCAGGUAGCCUAGUGGUUAGAGUGUUGGACUAGUAACCAGCAGGUAGCCUAGUGGUUAGAGUGUUGGACUAGUAACCAGCAGGUAGACUAGUGGUUAGAGUGUUGGACUAGUAACCAGCAGGUAGCCUAGUGGUUAGAGCGUUGGACUAGUAACCAGCAGGUAGACUAGUGGUUAGAGUGUUGGACUAGUAACCAGCAGGUAGCCUAGUGGUUAGAGCGUUGGACUAGUAACCAGCAGGUAGCCUAGUGGUUAGAGCGUUGGACUAGUAACCAGCAGGUAGCCUAGUGGUUAGAGUGUUGGACUAGUAACCGGCAGGUAGCCUAGUGGUUAGAGUGUUGGACUAGUAACCAGCAGGUAGUCUAGUGGUUAGAGCGUUGGACUAGUAACCAGCAGGUAGCCUAGUGGUUAGAGCGUUGGACUAGUAACCAGCAGGUAGUCUAGUGGUUAGAGUGUUGGACUAGUAACCAGCAGGUAGUCUAGUGGUUAGAGUGUUGGACUAGUAACCAGCAGGUAGUCUAGUGGUUAGAGUGUUGGACUAGUAACCAGCAGGUAGUCUAGUGGUUAGAGUGUUGGACUAGUAACCAGCAGGUAGUCUAGUGGUUAGAGUGUUGGACUAGUAACCAGCAGGUAGUCUAGUGGUUAGAGUGUUGGACUAGUAACCAGCAGGUAGUCUAGUGGUUAGAGUGUUGGACUAGUAACCAGCAGGUAGUCUAGUGGUUAGAGUGUUGGACUAGUAACCAGCAGGUAGUCUAGUGGUUAGAGUGUUGGACUAGUAACCAGCAGGUAGUCUAGUGGUUAGAGUGUUGGACUAGUAACCAGCAGGUAGUCUAGUGGUUAGAGUGUUGGACUAGUAACCAGCAGGUAGUCUAGUGGUUAGAGUGUUGGACUAGUAACCAGCAGGUAGUCUAGUGGUUAGAGUGUUGGACUAGUAACCAGCAGGUAGUCUAGUGGUUAGAGUGUUGGACUAGUAACCAG